CACCGCUGCAAGAGGGGAAGUUGCUACUGUGAUGAAUUCUGCCAUGUGGCACCAGACUGCCACCCAGACCACAGUGUCCUCUGCAACCCUGGUAACUCACAUACAGGCCCGAUUCCACCUACAGCAAAGCUGGAUGCGAUGGCUGGCAGAGGCAAACCCUUUGCCUGCACUUCAGGCCAAAGCCGGGAUGUGGCCUAGAUGGUUCCUAAGGUCCCUGACAAUCCUGAGAUCUUGCAUCUUGUCUAUUUCAGGUCAAAGGUGCCUACAUGCUCCUUCUAGCUUUGUUUCCCUGAUGUUCCUUGCCACCUGCUACUCCUCUCUGAGCUACUUUUCCAGGUUCCACAGGGAGAGGUUCAGCUGUCCGUGGUAGACAUGAGGGUAGAGAAUGAGGUGGUUGGGUUCCACUUACCUUUCUAUCAUCUUGCAGUAUGGAUGUCUCUUGACUGGUACCGUGUAGACUUUUGAGGGCACACAGGAGUCUGCAGAGAGAUACUGGGGACAUUGAGCAGCAGCAGUGGGGUUGGGAGGCAGAAAUGAGGACAGGAACAUUUACCUUGUGUUUCUCUCAGCUUCUCAGAUGACCAAGAUGGUGCUGCAGAUGGUGCUGAGGAUGGAGAACCCACCAAGCCCCGCUAGGAGCCACCUAGACUGGAUGCAGAGCAUGAGAAGGCUUCCAAUGACUCGAGCCCCUUUAAAGGAUCCGGAACAAAGGGGCCACUCACCCCUUCCAGGGUGCUCUGUUUUCUUUGUGGAGUUUCAAGAGUGAUGGGCGGAUUCUUCUUAGGUCUAAAGCUCUGCUGUCUUCCUGUACGGCAUGACCUGACCUCUUUGGCUUUGGGGGAACCAGAGAUGACCCUGCACUGUGAGAGGAUUUGACCUUGGCGUGUGUAAUGGCAGACGAGAACUACAAAGAAGGGGUGGCUGAGCACAGUUUACAGGGAAUGGUCUUGGCUGUUUUUUUGUUUUUUUUUUUUUCUCUUCUAGGAAGCUGUGAUUUAAGGAUCCUAAUUCUAGUUCAGAGAUGCAUCCUAAAGGGUCUUCUCUAUUGCUUUUUCUCCCAAAAUGAAUCUCA
rnacentral:lncRNA from 10 species